UACGAAGGGGGCUAGCGUUGCUCGGAUUGACUGGGCGUAAAGGGCGCGUAGGCGGUUCGUACAGUCAGACGUGAAAUUCCUGGGCUCAACCUGGGGGCUGCGUUUGAUACGUGCGGACUUGAGUGCGGAAGAGGGUCGUGGAAUUCCCAGUGUAGGGGUGAAAUCCGUAGAUCUACGAAGGAACGCCAAAAGCGAAGGCAGCUCUCUGGGUCCCUACCGACGCUGGGUGCGAAAGCAUGGGGAGCGAACAGG
rnacentral:rRNA from 1 species